AUCGCUUCUCGGCCUUUUGGCUAAGAUCAAGUGUAGUAACAAGACAGAGUAGUGUUUCAAGGGACCAGAGAGGGUGGGAAAUGACUAAGGGGAGUCUAAUUGAAAGACGAAGUCAGUUUUAGUAGGUUCUGUUCAUGCGAUUUCUCCUGGGGCAUGAACUUAUCCCCAGGGACAGGAGUCACUCUUC
ensembl:snRNA U2 U2 spliceosomal RNA